CGGUUCCAGCCGGAAAGGAAGAGCCUGCUGUCCUGAGUGGAGAAUUACUGAAAGGGGAGAGAGAUGCCCCAACAAGCAGCUACCUUGGCAGAUAGUCUUGAUUCAUUAGCAAACUUUUAUCGUUGCUACUGAAACGUUUUGUGUUCUUUGGAGACUGGAAGAAAGAGACAGCUGAUUUCUGAAUCUAGUGUUUCAGUGGGAUGCUAAUGAAUGUCGAAGAAAGUAGUAAUUCUUCAUCCAGGAGAUUUUUAUAAUUUCAUGUUUCUGUGCUAAGCCCUCAAGGGUGAACUUUAAUAAAAAUUAUUAUCGGAGUUUAAAAUAAAAUUUUCUAUUGCCCUGUUCAGGAAUUUCAAGGAUUUUCGUUUUAUUCUACACAUCUUUUAUUCUUGUAUCUCUAAAUUUAUGUUGUUUUCAAGCACGGUAUAGUUGUCUUCCUUUAAAAAAUGAGAGAUGAGAAUAAAUCCCCUUAUUUGGAAAAAAAUUAUUUUACUACAUUUGUGAUUUUAUUAGUGAAUGUCAGUACUGCCAAUGAAAUUUCUUUUACUAAUGUAUAUCGGAAGCUGCUAUGAAACUUUUAGUCUUAGUUGUCUGUCACUGAAAGAUUAAAUGAUUUGCCCAGGGUCAUGUAACAGGUCUGUGACAAAUGAACCAAUAUUUUAAGGAGGCUGCUAGACCAAACUGCCUCUCAUUCAAAAAUUAUUGAUUGCCAACAUUUUUACAAAUUCAUUGGGAUUUAAAUUUGAAUAAAACCAUACUGAAUCUAAACCCUGUGUCUCCUGGGGGAUGGAGGAAACCCUAGUCCUUGAAGGCUUUAGGUGUGUCCUUUUAUGGUCUACCUUGUGGUUGGAAAUGCUUUUUACAUGGACCUGGCAAAGGUCUCGAAGUCUGUUUGUUGUUACUGGACAGGUUUAGCACUAGGUAAUGUUUUUGUUUGUUUGUUUGUUUGUUUGUUUUCUGGCCAGGGCUACUCAUGAGCAGCAUUCACUUAAGCAUAGAGGGACUAAGGCUUCAGAGGAGGGGAAUGAUGAUGACAAAUGAAUUCACAAAAUUGUUGUUACAAUCAUACUAAAAAAAGAGGGAUUUAGACUUUGUUAUUAUUUUGACCAGAGUUGUUGUUGAGUUGUUUCAUUUGUUUCUGAAACUCUUCUUUGACUCUAUUUGAGGUUUUCUGGCAAAAAUACAUGAGUGGUUUUCUUCAUUUUACAAAUGAGGAAACUGAGACAAACAGGGCUAAGUGACUUGUCCAAAUCACACAGCUAAUAAGUGUUUGAGGCCAGAUUUGAACUCAGGAGGAUGAGCCUCUUCCUGACUCCAAGCACAGGCUCUAUCCACUUAUUGCAUAGCUGCUCUUUGACUAAAAGACUGGGUGUGAAUCAGCAUUUUUUUUUAAUUUUAAGUUUUCUGGUUUACUCAUGAUAGGUCUUUAAGCUAGGGUAGGACAACUACUGUUAUUAUACCCAUUUUAUGGAUGAGUUAAUUCAGGCUGAGAUGCUUAGGGUUACACAUAUGGUAUCAAGAUAAAAGUCUUUUAAUGCCUAGUCUAGUGUCCUUUCUACUACCCUACAUUCUCUCCUAACAGUAAAACAGUGGAACUUGUGCUUCAGAUAGCAGAUCAAAUGUCAUCAUUGGGUAUUUGGUUUUUAUUUGUCAGAAGAUAGCAACUUAUCAAACAAAAAUAAUAUUAUUCCUUGGUACUCAACUACCAAGGGAAAAAAUGCCCUGGAAAUCAAUCAAAUGAUGUCUUGAAUCAGUGUGCCUAGAGACAAUUUAGGAAAUGUCUGUGAUGAUGUUUGCUCCUUGCUUCUGUAUGAGUCAGGGAAAAAAGGCUUACUUAAAAAAAAAAACCUCAGUAGAUUAUUAUAAUGAUGCAGAAUCUGUCACAGUAACUCAGCCUUCUAUUUGUGAUAGAUUAGGAAUCUAGUUCUUAAAUUUGAGCCAUUGCCUUCUUUCAUGAUAGCACUCUUUGUCCUUUUAAACCCCAUUAACAUGGAUCCAUAUUUUACUCUCUUGCUUUCUGUUCCCUCUUUUACCACCUACUUCUCAUUUAUUUCUUGUCUCCUAAAUGAACUGUCCCUGUUUCCUCUGCUUUCCAGUCCAUCUUUUACACUUGCUAGAUUUAAUGUCCUAAAUCACAACUGUGACCCAUCUUGUUACUAAAAAUAUCAAAUGGCUCCUUGGUAGACAGUCUAACAAAUAUAUGUCAAACUUGAGGAGUUUUGAUUUUCAGUCUCUUCAUCUUCUUUCCCUAAAUCUUUUUUUAUAGCUACUCCUUUCCCACCACUUGUCAUUCUCUUCUAAGUUAUUAUAUCUCUACCUUUGCUCAUUCUUUUCUAACUCCACCUUGGAUUCUCAGACCACAAAUUCUCCUGCUCCCUGUCUUUGCCUGUUGAAAUUUUAUUCUUAAAGGCCUGGCUCAAAUGCCAAGUAGAAUAUAAGCUCCUUGAGGGAAGGUAGUCUUUUUUUUUUUUUGCUUGCAUUUUGUAUGGCCAGUGCAUAGCCUAGGAUCUGGCAUGUGUUGUUAUUUAGUUGUUUUCAGUUGUGUCAGCCCCUUCAUGACCCUAUUUGGGAUUUUUGUGGCAAAGAUACUGGAAUGGUUUGCUAUUUCCUUUUCCAGCUCAUUUUACAGUUGAGGAAACCUAAGUGACUUGCCAGGUCACACAGGUAGAAAGUAUUUGAGGCCAUAUUUGAGUUCAGUAUUUGACUCUAGGUGUAGUGCUGUAUUCUCUUAGUUGACACAUAAUAAGCACUUAAAGGGCUCAUUCCUUCUCUCUCCCUCCCUCCCUCCUUCUCUCUUGUGAAGAAGAGAUCCAGCCUUGGAACUAGGAGAAUCUGGGUUAAAUCUAGCCUCUAAAAUAUAAUGUGUGACUCUGGGUAAGUCCUUAACCUUUUAAUGCACGUGCAACUUUCUAAGACUAUAAAUUGCAGAGACUUUUAUUACAAAACUACUUUUUGGUAUGAGGAAUUUCCUCACUCAGUGAAAUCAUAGGUUCAAUUUCUACCCCUAGGCCUGUGCUUUGUGCUUUUAUUGUGGCACUUAUCACAUUCUAACAGAGCUGUUUGUGUUCAUUUCUUAUCUUCUUUUCUAGCUUUUGAAAUCCUGUAGUGCCAAGGUUGAGGUAAUGCUUGAUUUUGUCAUUACCACAUCCAUUCCUUAGCACAGUUCCCUACAUAAUGCCUAUUUAUAUAGUUGGUCUUCAAUAUGUAUUUGUUAAAUCAGAUAGAUCCCAGACCAAAACCGACGUCUAUCCCUUUCCUCUCCCCUCCUCCCCAUUUCUGUGAAAAUACUCUCUAAAAAUACUCCUAUACCAGAAGUUUUACUGUUUUCAUCCCCUUUUGCAUACUGCAGUCUAGAUAGGAAUUGUGAACUUCUCUGACAUGUCAACACAGCAGACAAAGGUUGCUAUCCAAGAACUCUUUAGAAACUUACUCCUAAUACUUAAUGCAAAGAAUGAGAUUUAGAGAUAAUAGAAGAAAUUACUUCUGUAGCUAAAUUUUAUAAGAAAUUUCACAUUUAAGCACGUUUUACAAAUAUAAUUUUUAGUUAUAAGCCUCAAGUCUUGCUCUUGACUGACCUGUGCUAUUUUUGCCUACUGGCAUAUUGACUUUAUGGAUAAAAGCAAAGCCUCAUAAAUAUUCCAUAUCUUUGAUUAUUAUUUAAUAGUGAAGAUGCAUAAUACAGAGAACUAAAGUUAAUUAAAUAAGAAAACUAAAAUUCUGCUUUGAAAAUCAUUUUAACAUUCAUGAUUACAUCAUAAAAAAAUAAAGAAUUCUCACUAAAUUACAUUUUUGGUGGAAAAAUAUCAACUAACAUUAAAGGUCAAAGUGAUGGUAUGGUGGAAAGCUCUCAGGAUUUGAAGCUAGAGGUUCUGGGUUCUAUCUCUAUUUAUUAGUCAUUAUGUUCUUGGGCAAGUCACUUUCAUUUCCUCAUCUGUAAAAUAAAGUUAGGGGCAGCUAAGUGGCUCAGUAGACAGAGAGCCAGGACAGGAGCCUUGGAGGUCUUGGGUUCAAAUUAUGGCCUUACACAUAUUCUAGCUGUGUGAUCCUAGGCAAGCCUAACUGCCUAGCCCUUGUCCUUUUGUCUUGUUACUAAGACAAAAAGUAAGAGUAAAAAAAAAAGAGGUUGUUAGAGUAAAUGACCUUUAAAGUUCCUUCCACUUCUAGAUCUACUGUCCUAUCUGUUAGUUACAUUUUGCUGUUACUUGUCAUUUUAACUCUAUACUAAUCUCUUAUUAGAGGUAGCAUGAAUGAUAGGUUGACACAUAAUAGGUUGUUUAUCCUUGAGCAGGUCACUUUAUUUCUCAGUUCUCUAGCCAACUCCCUUAAGCAUUUAAGUUAAAGACAGUUAGAUCUGCUUUGGUUGAGGAAAUUUCUAUGCCAGAGUUUCUUUGACCACUGUUGAAAUCUCAGGUUUUGAGGGGUGAUAAAAAGAAAAAAACAAACAAACCCCUAAGCCCUUGAUAAACGAAUCAACCAGAUUUUCUCUCAAAACCAAAUCAUGGACAAUUUUAACCCAAAAUGUGUAUAUCUUAUUUAUAGCAAAAAACAGUAAAAAUUCUCUUCAAAGCGAUUUUAGAAUCCUUAGUUACUUUGAUGCACGAAAUCAUCUUGGUCUACUCACUUUCUAGGAGUCAUUUUUUAUUUGCUUGUUAUAGCACUUUGAUGGGUUUCCUCAUUUCUCUUUCUCAUAGAUUCAUUCAUUAGAUAAUACAUUUCUUGGAGGGAGAGUUUUCUAAUAGUAAAACACUUAGUAUAAUAUUUGUGUUGUAUCCGAACUCUGAAAGUGCUUUUAAAUGAUGGACAGAAAGGUGGGGGAAGGGAACAGUUGAGUAAGCUUGCUCUAACCCCAUUGUAUGCAAAGUAACAGUUGCUGAAGGGAUACUUCCUGCCUGUUUCAAUUAAUGGUAACCCUACUCACCACAGUCUACCCCUCCUAUUGCUGCAAUUUUGUGUAGCCACUGCUCUUUUUCAGUCCAGUGUCUUCAAACUAAAUGAAGUCAACAGGCAGUUAUUCAGUAAUUACUGUGUGCUAAUUGCUGUUCUAAGUAUUAGGGUUACUAAGAAAAGCAAACAGCCGUAUACUCUCAAGAAAGUUACAGUCUAAUCAGAUUGAUGAUUAGUAGAUUACAAGUAAGUACUUUUCUUAUGCCACAUUUGGAGAUGGAAUUGACAAUUAAGGAUUGUAUUCUUGUAUAUGGACUGAAAGAGGGACAAAAAAAAAGUACAAGUAACUCUCAGUGGGGUAAGACAUAACUAUAAAUUACAGAUACUAUUUUAGGUUUAAUUUAACCAUAAGUCAAGUUUUAUCAUUAUGGGAACACCCUCCAUGCCUUGGUUAUUAAAUUGGUUAUCUCAAAUUCCUGGUGACUUGAUUGCCAUAGAUUACUGUAACCAACUUCUUGGUGACAAUGCAUAUAAACUCAUCAUCAAACAUUUCCAUCUUGUGUAGGACCCCCUCGCAUCUAAGAACUCAAGGCCCACCUCUGUGCCUUUGAAUGGGAUAUUUCAUUAAAAAUUUAGUGGUAGAUUAAUGUCAAUGAGAACUUAAUCAAAUGCAUGGGGAGGGGGCAGCUGGGUAGCUCAAAGGAUUGAGAGCCAGAGGUCCUAGGUUCAAAUCUGGCCUCAGACACUUCCCAGAUGUGUGACCCUAGGCAAGUCAUUUAACCCCCAUUGCCUAGCCCUUACCACUCUUCUGCCUUUGAACCAAUACACAGUAUUCAUUCCAAGAUGGAAGGUAAGGGUUUAAAAAAAAUGCAUGGAGAGAGGGAUUGGGAAUGAAUCAAAAUAAUAUCAUGGAAUAAGGAAAAUUUAAAGAUGGUAGCACCCAAAAUAUAACAAAGGAUAUUCAGAACGAAUUGAUGAUUUAAAAACAAAUUAACUUUGAAAAGCCACUAUUUUGCUUUUACACUUUUGCCAUGUGAGAGCUUCCAAGAACUGGUAACUUUCAGAAUCUGUGUGAAUGUCUUUUAAAACUUUUUUUUGUUGUUCUUUAAGCUUUAAAUGUAUAUGAGAUACUAUACUGAUGGACUCAGUAACUAUUGAAGUGAAUAUUAAUCCAUUAUGAGUAGCCAUGCACAAUCAAAUGUAAUGGUCUUCUCUACUAGCAGCAAUGCAAUGAUCCAGGACAAUUCCAAGGGGCUCACGAGAAAGAACACUAUCCACAUCAAAAGAAAGAACUGUGGGAGUAGAAACAGAAGAAAAACCAACUGCUUGAUCACAUGGGUCAAUGGAGAUAUGAUUGGGGAUGUAGAUUCUAAGUGAUCAUGCUAAUUCAAAUAUUAAUAAUAUGGAAAUAGGUCUUGAUUAGUGAUAUAUGUAAAACCUAGUGGAAUUGCUCGUUGGCUAGGGGGUAAGGAGGGGAGGGAAAGAACAUGAAUCAUGUAACCAUGGGAAAAUAUUCUAAAUUAAUUAAUUAAAUAAAAAAUUUCAAUUAAAAAAUGAGUAGCCAUGUUUAGUUUCAAAGUCAAAUUCAGGAACUUUGUGUUUAUAAUUGGAAAAAUGAACUGUAUAAGUUGGUAAAUAAGAAAUUAAUUUGUUAAUACUUUUAUUAAACCCUUUGAAUGUUCUGGACACUGUUCUAGGCAGUAGGAAUACAAGGAAAAAAUCAAGUCUCUGUCCUCAAGCCUUUUGCUUUAUAGCAGGGGAAAUAACACAUACACUUGUAAGUAGAUAUAAAAUCUAUGCAGAGAAAAUGAUUCAUCAUCUAUAACAGUUUAUGCAGGAUUGAAAUGUUCCAAAGUGUAGGAAAUAUUUACAUGUACUUCAGUAGCUUACCUCUAAGGCUUUAAAAAAGUUUUUUUUUGGGGGGGGAGACUAUUAACAAUUGGUCAUGUGUUCAGAGUUUAGCCUCCAGUGUUGAGGAGAGUUGGUGAUUUCAUGAUAUUAAGUGGAAUUCAUGAAUGCUACUUACUGCUUUGUCUUCAUGCCAUUCACUUCCUAGUUCCAGGUUUAGCCUGCAGUAGACUUUGGAAAUUUUAAUCACAGUGUGCAUUUCUCAAUUUGUUGUUUAGGAAAAGAAAAGAUUGUAGUAUUUUUACUUUAUUAUUAUUUUUAGACCCUUACCUUCUUAGAAUCAAUAAGUAUUAGUUCUGUUGUAAGAAUUAUCUCUUUGCUAAAAGCAGGAAGCAGGAGAUCCCACAGGGCAAAGACAGGACUAACAUUCCAGAGCUCUCAGGAGCUGAGGAACUGAACACACAGACAGUUUCUGGGAGCAGUUGGUUGUCUUCUUUGGAGGAGUGAGAGGCUCUUGCUUUCCCUAAUAGUCAGGAGAGCCAAGAGGGUUUUCUGUCUGGUUAUUCUGGGGUGGACCCAGAGAACCAGUGAUUGAUUCCCUCUUCUGUGUCUUUCCUGAGAUUCUGCCUACCCCUGCUUCUGCUGCUGUUGAGGAGUGGAUUUUCAACAGAGCUGCUGCUAGUAACUUCCUACUGGGACUUCUACUUGACCUAAAGUGGACUUCAGUUGUGUGAGAUUAACUUUGACCCUUAUUCUUGCUCCUUCCAAACCCUCCCCAAUCUUAAUUAGUAAUUAAGGGGUUAGUUUAGAAUAGGUAUAAAAGGUUGUUAGGGUUUUAGCCUCUGAUUUGGGUAUAAAGUUAGUUAUUCCCUGAUCCCCUUUUCUUUUUCCCUUUAGUUAAAUAAAUCUGUUAUUUCGUUAUAUAUAUUUAUAGUUCUGAACCCUCAUUUAAUCCACCUAUUUCAUUUCCAAGGCAGAAGUGAUAUGGACUAGGUAUUUAGGAUUAAAUGACUUGUCCAGGGGUCACACAGGUAGGGAGCAUUUAAGGCCAUAAUUGAACCUGGACCUUCUCUCUCCAGGCCUGGUUCUCCAUCUACUGAGCCACCUACCUGCUCUGGUAUAUAUACUUUAACAGAAUUUAACCUCACAGCAUUUUCCUCGAAUUUGAUGACAUAUGUUGUCUAUACUUCUGCUCUAUCUUUUUGCCUUUCUUUUUUUUUUUAAGAAAAGGUCAAUUCUUUGAUUAGAUUAUUUAGUCCACUUAAUGCGUAACUGGCAGAGGACUUUCUUAAUAUAGUUUUAAAUUUGUUACGGAGGUUGGAGGUAGGGCUUAACUGUUCUUAGUUAUUACUAUAAUGAUAACAGUUAAUAUUUAUAUAGCUCCUUAAGAUUUUCAAAGUGCUUUGAAUUUAUCUCAUUUGACUUGUUCCUCACAACAGCCCUGUGAAGUAGGUGCUUUAUUAUUCCCACUUUACAUAUGGAGAAACUGAGACUUAAAAAGGUUCUGGGACUUGACUAGCAUCAGAUAGUUAUUAAAUGAUUAAGGCAAGAUUCAUUCUUAAGUCUUUCUAAAUGUAAAUUUAUCACUUUAUAUACUACACCACCCUGGGUUAGGUUUAAGAGACUACUAGCAUUUUAGCCCAUGGAUAACCUUUAGGAAAAUCACUCCAGGCAGGUUCUCCCUGGAACAUCUGAAAAAGUGUCUAGAGGGGAUGCAGUGAUUCCAUAUUUCUUGGGGGCUUUGUAUUAGUUAUAAGAGAAUGGCUAAAGAUUCCUUUAGAGAGGACAACAAAUAUUUUGAAACAACAGAAUCUACUAAGCCUAUCCCAGGCUUCCUUUAAACUAGAAACUCUAGGUGUGUGACCCUCAGCAAGUUACUUAACCCUCAUUGCCUAGUCCUUACAACUCUUCUACCUUAGAACCAUGGUUCUAAGGCAGAAGGUAAGGGUUUAAAAUAAAUAAAUAACUAGAAACUCUCUGUAGGGAGAGCAUCCUUGGGGUAGCAGUGAUUCAUUCCACCCUAGGUACUCUCUGGUCAGACCCAUUACUUCCUGGGGAGGAGAGGUCCAAAGAUGAUAUGUCCAGCAAAUUUUGUCCUAGAUGCAAAGAUUCUAAAGUCAGGGAAUGUUGGUUGUAUUCAGUGUAAUUUUUAGGGGUUUCAUAAUAAUGUACACAAAAUAAUUCAUGGGCAGGUAGGUGGCAAAGUAGAUAGAAUGUCAGGUCUGAAGUUAGGAAGACUCUUCUUUUUGAGUUCAAAUCUGACCUCAGACACUUACUAACUGUAAGACCCUGGGCAAGCUGCUCAACCUGUUUGCCUCAGUUUCCUCAUUUGUAAAAUGAGCCGGAGGAGGAAAUGGCAUACCGUACCUGUAUCUUUGCAAAGAAACAACUUAAUAUCAAUGAGAGAGUGAUGCUGCUGACUUUGUGCAUUUCUAUUUCACUAAAAUCCAAUUUAUGUUUAAGUCAAGACAUUAUUACCCCAUGAUAUCAUUGGUCCUAUCACAUCUUGACUGAGGUCCAGGUUAUAGGGAUCCAGCAUAUGAAGAUGAUGGUCUGUGUGGAGGCAGGGCAAGAUAAGACAAAAACCUCUCCCAUCAGAGCCUAGUGUCCUAAGAUCUGUGUGGGAUUUGAGUCCUCCCAUCAGCUGGCAUUUUUUUUCUUCAGUAUACCAAACUGGUUUUAAUUCUUUAUGUAAAUGAGGGGAAUAGCUAUGCUAAGACUGAAAUUGCUUUCUCCAUAGUCAACUUUCUGCAAAGUAGAAGCAUUGUGUCAAACCUGGUUUUUUUUGUUUUUUUUUUAAAUCACCUUCCCUUUUUCCUGCAUGAAGGAUGUUCUGUGUUUACAAAUUUGUUAAUUUUUUUACCUAUUGCCAAAUCUAAAUAACCCAACUGGCUACUUCCAAGUGUUCUAGAAGUUUACAAUGUGUUUGCGAAGGAGAGAUCUCCUAUUUUUCCCUUUGUGAGUCCUAAAUGGCUACAGUAGAUGAAAACCUUUCUUGUUCUUAAACACUUAAAAAAAAAAAAUCAAACACUUCCUAGCUGUGUGAACCUGGGUAAAUCACUUGACCUCAAUUGCCUAGCCCUUACCACUCUUUUGCCUUGGAACUUAGUGUGGAUUCUAAGUCAGUAGGUAAGGGUUAAAACAAAACAAAACAAAACAAAACAAAACAAAACAAAACAAAACAAAACGGCUUUCCCUGUUUUAGCUAGCAUUUCUGUAGGGUAAUAGGAAAGGGUUGUUUCAUUUUAUCUUCAUGACAGCCUUAAAGGCAGAAGGAGAGGUGCCAUUAUUAUUCUUAUCUUACAGAUGAGGAAACUGAGACUGCAAUGGUUAAACAACUCAGUCACACACCCAAUACAGUUAGUAAGCAUGUUGCUGUAUUUGAGCUCAUGUCUUCCUGACUUCAGUCCCAGGACUCUAUUUACCAUGUCACCUAGUUUUCUCUAACUUGCUCUAUUUUCCCUGACCUUGUAACCUAACCUUCACUCUUAAGACUGCUUACUUCCUCAUGUCCAUCUCCACUAGAUUAUCAGUUCACCAGCUCAGUAUCAUCUGUCUUGCUGCUCUUUGUUUUGUAGAUUUUAAAUUAAUUUAAUGAUUGUAACAUAAAAUGACCAUUAAGGUCUAUUCCAGGUCUAAAUUCUACGACUUUCAGUGCAUGGUAUUAAUGUACUGAAUUCCAUUAUAUUUUUCCCCCCCCUGCUACUAGCCUAAAAGUUCCAUGACUAUCUUAUCUAAAUUUUGUGUGAUUUCUUCCUCCCUCCCUCUCCACCAAUACUGAGCAUAGUACUUAAUAAGUUGGUCUUUUUUUUUUUUUAAUCUUCCAGCUUAGAAUCUAUACUAAAUAUUGGUUCCAAGGCAGAAGAGCAGUAUGGAUACAGGCAAUUGGGGUUAAGUGAUUUGCCCAGAGUCACAGAACUAGAAAGUGUUUGAGGCCAGAUUUCUACCCAGGAUCUCCUGGCUCUCUCUCUCCACAGAGCCACUCACCUAGCUGUGCCAAUAAAUUUAUUUGCCAGUCUCCAGUAUUUUUUCCCCUACCUUGUUCACUUAUGACUUGUUUGGUGAACACCCUCCCUCUAGCCCCAGAUUUAGAAUUUUCCCUGGCACACAUAAUGUCUUUGUGAUUAGGUAUCUAGUUCCUGAUAUUAUGAUUCCCAAACUGUCUGCCUGAAUCUAAACAAAUUUUCUAGACUGCCUUUAUUUACAUGUGUUUUUUGGAGUUCUUUCAAAAUUUGAGUAUUUGGCUAAUGAUAAUUGAGUCUCCUUCCCUCCCUCCUUUGCCAGUAGACUUGCAUCUUGGUUUUCAGAUUGACUUUGGGUACUCAAAUCUACUCAUUCCUAUUCCUCCCAUCUUCUGGCCUGUUAGCUCUUCCUGGCUGGCUGGGCAGGUGUAAAUACUCAUACUUAAAAUUUAAUGUAUAUAAGAACUGGCUCUAGUACACCCCAGACAUUGUAGUGUCUCUCUCUGUUCUUGACCUGUAUUUUUGCUCCUUAUAGGAUUUAUAGGUUCCAUCCUUUAGAGCAGCAGUUCUCAACCUCUCAAUUUGUAGCAAUGAGAUACAUAAUGCAUAUCAGGUAUUUACAUUCCGAAUCAUAACUGUAGCAAAAUUACAGUUUUGAAGUAGCCACCAAAAUAAUUUUUUGGUUUGGGGUCACUGCAACAUGAGGAUCUGUGGAUGGCUUUGCUUAUUAUACCUAAUAAACUAAUUCUUAGUAAGGCGUCAAUGAAUGAUUUUCUUUACCUGGUUUUCUUUAACUGGUACUUGCUCCUGAGGAAUAUUAUAUUACCUUUUAAUCUGGGGAUCUGGAAGAGAAAGCUGACUUUAGAGGACUGAUUCUCCCAUGGUGGACUUUUAGGCAUCCUUACAGGCUAGUGAGAAAGAUGGCUAUGGAGUGGGAAACUCUUCUAGCCUUUGUAUCACAAGAAGCAAUUGCUUACUGUGCCUGUAUUCAAUGCUGGCACUAUCUAGUAUAAUGGACCAUGUAUAAAGGGUUCAAUUGCAAUUUAAUCUCCAUAUAUUCUUCAUACCAGUCAAACUGGACUGCUAGCUUUUCUUGAUAUAUGAAACCCACCUCUGUGCCUUUUAGAUUAAUCUCCAAGCACACAUAUCCCUUCUCUGGUAUGAAAAUCUUCCUAAUCUCUUCUUUGUAGAAUACUUAGCUUCCUUUAAAGCAGAAUUCAGAAAUUACUUCUUUCACUAGUCUUUCCUGACUAAUAAUUAGACUAUCCUCUUAUAAUCUCUUUUGUAUUGUGUUUAAUCUAUUUGUUUACUUGUAUUUUAAGCAUCUUGAGGGCAGGGACUAUUUGGGGUUUUUUAAUCUGUUCUUCUAUUGCUUUGUAUCUGAAUAGUGCUUGACAUUCAGCCAGUAAGUCAGUAAGUAAUCUCCAAAAGAAGGGCAUUUUGAGAUAUAUUUCGGUAUAGAAGUCAGUAUAUUUUGGAGAACCUAAAACACAAACUUGGGUGGGUAGUAUAGGAAUGUUUUGGGUGGAUCCAAGAUCUCAGAUAAACCAAAAAUCCUUGAAGCUACCUGGUCUUCUGGACAGUUACUGAAAUCAAAGUGAUAUUCCUGGUCAAACAAGCUCUAAUCACAUAAAGUUGGAUUUAAACAUUAUAAUAAUAAGUUUUUUGAACUAUAUAAUAAAUAAUCCACAUGAGUAAGAUAUUAUUAUAUUAUUGUUUACAUUAUUUAUAAUAAAUAUGAAAUAUUUAUUGAUGUACUGAUCUUUAGAACUGCCUUUCAAAUGAUUUUCUUAAUUCACAAGACUCAAUAAAAUUUGCUAACUUUUAAAAUCUGCUGCUGACCUUCUUGUUACUCUCAUCUCUAGGGUUAGAUGAAUACAAACAUCUGACUUAAAUAAGCAUAGUCAGGGUUUUCCCACAAGACCAGAUUCCCAUGAUGACCAAAAAGGGAGAAGAAAAGAGUUAUAUUAAAAAUGAAGUCUGUUCUGAUUUCAAUGCCUGUUUUUGUGGCUACACUAGUUUAAGACCACAAGUGAUUGUCUGUCUGCAAAAAUAUGGAGAGUUUCUACAAACACAGAGAUUUUCAUGGAAACCUCACAAUAUUUUUCAGUGGUUUGGUCAAGAUUCUGGGGACAUUUACAUUUGAAAAGUCUCUACAAAGUUGAUGAUUUGUUCAUAACAGUUCUUUUUCCAGAAAUGAUUUCUAAGAACAGAGAUGUGUUUAAGCUCAUGCAAAUUGCCCAUCUACCUACAUUUUUUUCACAAUCAACAGUCUAGAAUCAUUGUAUGCCACAUUUCAGUAGCAAGUCAUGGUUUUAAACUAAUUCAGUGCAUCUUUCUAUUUAAGGAUCUUGAUCUGCAGCCUGGAAGUACCUCCAGUCUUUUCCUUAAGGGUUAUAUAAAUAUCUCUCACUUUAUUCCUGUUUAUUUGGGGAAAGUUACUAAGCAAGCAUUUGUUGUUGUUUUGUUUUAAAAGAUAUUUGAUUAGCCUAAUUACAAAUAAUAACAAUUUUCCACAUGUAUUUUUUGAAAUUAUAAGAUCCCAAUUGACUCUCUGUCCCUUCCCUUUCCCCCUCUUGGAGAUGAUAAGCAAUUUGAUUUGGGUUGUGUGUGUGUUGUGCAAAACAUUUCCAUAUUGUUCCUUGUUGUAAGAUAAUGUUCAUGUAAAACCAAACCCCCCAAAUAAGAGCACAAAUAAACGAAAGUGAAAAAUAGUAUGCUUUGAUUUGUAUUCUGACUGCAACAGUUCUUUCUCUGAGGGUGGAUAGUAUUCUGUCAUAAGUCCCUCAGAAUUUUCUGAGAGUAGUUAAGUCUUUCACAUUGAUCAUUGGAGUAUAUUUCAACAAGCAUUUAUUAAUAACCUCCUAUAUGCCUAGCACUAUGCUAAGUACUGGGGACACAUAGAAAGGCAAAAACCCAGUCCCUGCCCUCUAGAAACUUACAGUCUCGUGAAGGUUAUUGCUUCAUUUCCUCAUUGACUACAAUCUGAACUUGGGACAACUCUGAAUUCCCCAAAGUUUUGAUUGGCACCAGGAUUAGGAUAGCACAGAGGGAAAUCACAUUAUGACUCUUUCAUCUUCUGUGUCCUUCAAAUCAUAUAUUUAAAACUUAGUUAAAUAAAUGUCAAGGACAGCAGACACUUCCUAGCUGUGUGACCCUGGGCAAGUCACUUAACCCCCAUUGCCUAGCCCUUACCACUCUUCUGCCUUGGAACCAAUAUCUAGUAUUGAUUCUUAAGAUGGAAGGUAAGGGUUUAAAAAAAAAAGACAGGAAGGAUUAUAGAACUGCAAUGUAUAUAACCCAAGGGAUGUAUUUGGAGGGAAUUUACUUUUAUGAAUUAAUAUGGGAGUAGAGUAGAAUUUGGGACCGCCUCAGUCACUGCCCACAUAUAGGAGAGGAGGGAGGCAAAAAGGAAUUUGCCUUAUUACCCUAGCGGGACAGCUCUGGUUGGGGUAACCCUGAAAAACUUCCAGUUAUGUGUUCCAGGGCUAGAUAAAUAUUUAGAUAACUCGUGUGGCACAACUCGUAGAGCUCUUGACUUGAAGUCAAGAAGAUCUGACUGCCUCUACUUAUUGUGUGGUCAUGUUCCUUCUCUGUAAGAUGUAGGUAAUAAUACCUGUAGGACUUACCACCCAGAGUUGUUGUGAGGCACAAAUGUUAAAGUAUAUGUAGCGAUUCACAAGCAUUAAAUCUUUAUAUAAAUGUCAGCAUUAUCAUUAUUACUACGUUAUAGAAAUCUCAGAGAAGUAAUUUGACUUAGGUUUUAGGUUUGGGAUUUCCCAGGGAUUCUUGUGGGCUUCCUGAUGCUCUUCAGAGCCAAUCUGAUCUCGAUUGUGUCCUUUUUUAUUUUUUCUUCCCUUUUCUCUCGGAUAUUUUUCAGGGUAUUCUGUACCCCAAUUAAACAAUUAUGAACUAGAGAAAGUUUCUUAGACCUGCUUGUGAGUUAUAAAAACCUUUAGAAUUAUCAGAGUUUGGGGAGGAAUUCUUUGUGAACUGGAAUGACCUCCAGGAAUUGAUGCAGAGUGAGAGGAGCAGAACCAGGAGAACAUUGUUAAAUUUAAAAUUAUAUCUCUAAUAAUAAAAAUAUUAUAUUUUAUGAGGUUUAUUAAGGAUUAUUAGAGAUCAAGGAAUAAAGAAAAUACACAAUAUAUAACCACAUGCCCAUGGCUGAUUAGCCAAUUCAGAAUCCCCCACUUAGCUUACUUACUACAUCAUUGCAAUGGAAUGGAAGAGAGAGAGGGAGGUGUUACUGCCAGUUAAAUACCAAUUGUGAUCUCACCAACUUGGGGACCCAGGUGUGAUUAUAGGGAAUUCUGGGAAACACCAAGGACUUCUGGGAAUUGAAGUCUGGGGUUCAAAAUCUCCAUUUUUACAACAUUGUACAGAGAGACUGAUAUACUGUGGUACAGUCGAAUGUAAUGGAUUAGUGGCAAUGCAGUGAUCCUGAACAACCCAGAGGGAUCUACGAGAAAGAACACUAUCCACAUUCAGAGGAAAAACUGUGGGAGUAGAAACACAGAAGAAAAACAACUGCUUGAUCACAUGGAUCGAGGGGGAUAUGAUUGGGGAGGUAGACUCUAAAUGAACAUCCUAGUGCAAACAUGAACAACAUGGAAAUAGGUUCUGAUCAAGGACACAUGUAAAACCCAGUGGAAUUGCGCGUUGGCUAUGGGAAGAGGUGGGGGGAGGGGAGAGAGAAAAGAAUAGGAUUCUUGUAACCAAGGAUUAAUGUUCUAAAUUGACUAAAUUAAAAAAAAAAGAAUUAUCAGAAUUUGAGGAGUGCACCUAGCAUCCUAAAGGCUAAAAGACUGCAGCUAUUUGUAUAAAGUAAUAGAUUCAAAGUUGGAAGGGACUCGUAGAGGCUAACUAGCCCUCAUUUUACAGGUGAAGAAACUAAGGCCAAGGAAAGUUAUUUGACUUGCUCAUGGUCACUCAGCUAGUACAUGUCAGAGAUAGGAUGCAAACCUGGUUCUUUACUUCAAUACUACCACCUUAUCCAAACUGCCUCUCUAGUAUCAAGGUAUACUGUAUCCCCUAUAGAUAAAACCCAUAAAUUUUGGAGUUGACAUUCUAUUGCAAUUCGUUGUGCUAAAAUGUUUUUGGUUUUCUUUUUAUCAAUUCACUUAUUAUAGUUUAGUUCAAGAUAUUUUGUCAAAUACUAUUAGCAGUUCUAUUAUCUCUUCCAGAAGAGUUCCUUUUCCUUUUUUUCUAAACUCCUAGGAAUCUGGCUCAAAUCAUAGAUUUCAGGAAAAUGUGGGUUUUUAAAUCAAUUUCAUUCUAAUUGUUCAUUCUCCUUUCUCUUCUCUACCCCCACAAAAACAAAAAAUCCACUUAAAAAGAGUUGCAGGAUUGCAAACUAAAAUUAUUAAGGCAUUUCCAUAAUGUUGUAUGGUGGUGACACGAUUGAUAGUCCACUGUACUGGCUUGAAAUAUGGAGAAUAAAGCUUUGUACUUGGGAAGAAGAAUCAGAUAUAGUGUUCCUUCUAAUUUGAUAGCCAAAGGAGAAAAUUAAGCAUAAAAAAAUAAAGUAAACCUUCACAUAGGCUAAUGUAGUUGAGGAAGUUGCUGGGAUGGAGGAGGCAAACUUUGUAACCAGAAUACCCUUUGAAAUUUGGGGAAAAAAAUAUUUAGAGCUGCUCUUUUUGUGGUGGCAAAGAAUAGAUUAUUGUGGAGAUACCCAUCAGUUGGAAAAUAACAAGUUGUAGAAUAUGAUUCGGAUGAAAUACUAUUGUACUGUAAAAAAUGGCAAGGUGGAAUGGGUUCAGAAAAACCCAGUAACCCUUAUAUGACCUCAUACAAAGUGAUUUGAGCAGAAACAGAACUUUGUACCCAAUAAAAGUCAUCUUAAGCACUUAGUUAUUAUGAUCAUGUCAAUUGCAAAGAACUCAUGUCUAGAAUCCCUGCUUACCCCUAGGAUGAUCUCCCAACUGAGAUUAGAUUAGUUUCUAUUCAAAAGUAUACUGGGAGUGAGGUUAGUUGAUCCAGUUGUUUCAAAGGAUUUGUUCUCUGAAGGAAACUUUAGACUUUCUCUCAUAACUAUUGCAAAGCCCCUAAUAAAUGUAGAAUCACUGCAUCCUUGUUUAGGCACUACUUCAGAUAUUCCAGUUAGAGUGAAGUGAUAACUCAGUGCAGAUUAGAGCAUAUUUAAAUUUUUCCUUAUUGUUCUUGCCUUUUCUUUUUUGCAACUUUGCUAAUAUGGAAAUGUUUUGUUUGCAUCACUUGACUUGUAUAAAAUGUAUAUCAUAUUGUUUACUUUCUCAAGUGGGUGGAGCAGGGCUGGACAGAGAGAAUUUGGAACUUAAAAAAAAAAAGAAUGUUUAAAUUACUGCCAAAGUGAUAGACACAGAAUAAUAUCGUGGAGGUUAAAUAACUCAGAGAUUGAGUGACUUGUCAUGUGGUCACACAACUAGCAACCACCACCCUGAUUAAAAUGGUAAAUUGGCAUGGAACCUUUCCUGGAGGUCUUCUGUUAAAAUAAUUCCUUGCAGAAAGAGCAAAUAAAGUAUCAUUUUACAAUGCAGUUUCUGACUGAAAGAAGAGUCUCUUACCAGAUUGAUUAUAGGAACUGGAGAUUUUCAAUUUCUCAUUAAACUCCUAUAAGUAGGUUUUUAGAAGCUGCUUUGAUAGUUUGAUCUCUUUUAAAAAAUCUUAAAGGGGUAGGAUUCAUUGAUGAAAUUCUUCUGUUAUAUGGUAAACUAGAAUUUGAAAGUCCUAUUCUCUGAACUGUACGGGUCAAUAACCUCUUGAUUAUCCCUAUCUUGGUUUUCAAAGAUGAUGGGGUUUUUUGCCUCUUUUCUCUCCAAUGACUCCAGUCUCACCGUUAUCACUUUGUUAAUGCUUCUCAGGAAAUUACCUCCUGGACUUUGUGAUAAUUUACUGAACAAAGUUAAACUCUUAUAAAUCUUAUAAAUGUCCUUUGAAGACAUAGAACUUGCUACUUCUAUCCUUUAUGCACAUUAAUCAGCUUCCACACAUUUUUUGAAUGUUUGCAGUGUGCUCAGUCCUAUGAUAAAUAGUUCAUGUCCCUAACUAUUAUAAGCCUUAUAUAAAUUGAUAUUCUUGUCUUUCCUUUAUUCUCGUGCCUCAGACACUGAUUAGCUGGGUGACUUUUGGCAAGUCAUCAACCUCUGUCUGCCUUAAUUUCCUCAUCUGUAAAAUAGGGAAAAUAAUAGCACCUAUCUCUCAAAGAAGUUGUAAGGAUCCAAUGAGAUGAUAAUCUGCAAAGCUAUUGAACUGAUGACUAAAAGUGUGAGGCUAAUGACUUUGUGGAACUCUGCCUCACUUAAAUCCACUUCAAGAGCAAGUCAGGACAUCACUCUAUGAUGUCAUUUGUCCUUGAACAAUAAGGACAAACCACAAAUAUUUGUUAAGUACCUUAUGUGCCAGUCACAGUGCUCAGCACUGGGCAUACAAAAAACUGGAAAAGACAGUUCCUGUGUUCAAGGAGCUCAAAAUCUAAUGGGGGGGAAUGAGAAGGAAACAAAACUAUAUGUAGAAUAAAUGAGAAAUAAUUAAUAGAGUCUAGGCAUUAGAAUUAAGGGGAGUUGAGAAACACUUCCUAUAGAAGAUGAGAUUUUCUUUGGAGCUUGAAGGAAUCCAGAGAAUCCAAUCCAGGAGGCAAAGAUAAGGAGGGAGCACCUUCCAGGUAAGGGGGAAACCCAGAGAAAAAUGCUCUCAGCUGAGAGAGAUGGAAGGUCUUCUUCCUAGAACCAGAAAGGACACCAGUGUCACUGGGUUGAAGAGUAUGUAUGCAUUGGGGAGUAAGUUGCCAGAAGACUAAAAAGCUUUGAAUAAGGGCAGCAGGGUGACAUAGUGGUUAGAGUAGAGACUGGCAAUCCUGGGCUCAUUUACUUCCCAGCUGUGUGACCCUGGGCAAGCCACUUGACCCCAAUUGCCUACCCCUUACUGCUCUGCCUUGAAACCAAUACUUAGUACUGAUUCUAAGACAGAAGGUAAGGGUUUCAAACAAGGGCUUUGAACAUGAACAGAAGAUUCAAAUACUUGAAGAUAGCUGUUCUGUCCCUUGAGUCUUUCUUUUUUCCAGCUUAAGAAUCACUUGUUUCCUUAAUGCACUCUAAUGUGACAUGAUUUUAAGGCAUUUCAUUUACAUGGCCACCCACCUUCUGACACUCUGCAGGUUAUUGUUCUUCCUAAAACAUGAUGCCUGAGACUGAAUGGUAUGUGUCAUCUCUGCUUUGACCAGGACAGUGUAUAAUACGACUAUCACCUCCCUGGUCCAUGUCUCUCAAGUGAUCUGAAGAUUGCAUUAGAUUGUUGGCUGCCAUGUCUUACUAUUGGUUCAUACUCAGCUUGCAUGUGCUCUAAAAAAAUCCUAUAUCAUUUUCAGUUGAACAUCUGUCUUAUACUAGUCUUAUAUUAGUGAUUUUUUUUUUCCAAUCCAAAGUACAAGACUGCAUUUUUGUCAGGUCCAAAUCUAUGAUUUCAUCUCUGGAGAAUUCCUGAUAGGGAAACUCUUUCCUAUGAUGCAGAUAGAUAACUUUUUGUUAACUAGUCUUCAAACAUUUAUUGGGGCUAUGGAAUGGUUAAAUGACUGUCCAAAGUCCUGUAAGUAAUAAAUGGCUGACCAUGAUCUUAGAACAUUUCCCAGGACUACUGGAAAGGUGAAGGUCUUGUGUUGGGUCAUUCAAGUAGCAAGUGCCAGAGUCUUGAUUUGAAUCUAUCCUUGGACUCCAGAAGGACUAGGAAGCGUGAUUAUGGUGAAUAAGAUCAGUAUUAAAAAAGGAUCUAGGCUCACAUUCUGGUUGUACCACUUAGGAUGGUAACAUAUCCUUUUGCCUGACUGAGCAAGUCACUUGACAUCCUGGGCCUCAGAUUCCCAAUUUGUAAAAUGAGAGGUUUGUACCAAAUGAUCUCCAAGACCCCUUUAAUCUUGUGGUUUUGUGCAUUCUACCCACACAGAUGACUUUUCUAUGACUUAAUAGAUAGGUUUCAAAAGCCAAAAUUCAUUUCCCUGAAGUCAACCUGAUUAAGUCUCUUUAAACUUACCAAAGUUGGUCUUCUGGCUAUAUAUGUAGUACAGCUCAUAUUUAAGAUCUUUGCAACUUUGUAGGGCUUGCCAAUAUUUGCAUUUCUACUGAUAUGAACCUUUGAAAACUCAGGAUCACUUCCAAGUUGUGAUGGAGCAUCAGAGAGAGGCUUUGGUAGAUCAAUUUUUAUCAUCAUCUCUAGCCCUUUCAUUUUCCCAGAGGUCUUGGCAGUUCCUUAAACUAAGUCCUUGAACCACUGAAUAGACAUAAUAGUUGAAGAAGUGGGGGUGGUGAUAUAUAGAGAGAAUAUUCUUCCUUACAAAUUUUUUUCUUGAGAACUGAAAAAAAAAUUUCUUUAGCAUUUAAAAAUACACUAGCCCUACAGGGCAGCUGGGUAGCUCUGUGGAUUGAGAGCCAGGCCUAGAGAUGGGAGGUCCUAGGUUCAAAUUUGACCUCAGAUACUUCCCAGCUGUGUGACCCUUGGAAAGUCACUUAACCCCCAUUUCCUAGCCCUUACAACUCUUCUGCCUUGGAACCACUAUUCCAAGAUGGAAGGUAAGGCUUUAAAAAAAAAUGCACUAGUCCUAUAAAUAUUUACCCAAUGUUACUUAUUUCUUGGCCAUUCUUGGUUUUCUCUCUCUCUUUCUCUUACUAGAACAGUUAUAUGCCUACAGAACAAAAAUAUUUUGUUUCCAAAAA